GUUAUUAUAGAUGGAUAGAGAUGCCUGGUGUCUGGGAGUGUAGUGACAGGUUAUUAUAGAUGGAUAGUGAUGCCUGGUGUCUGGGAGUGUAGUGACAGGUUAUUAUAGAUGGAUAGAGAUGCCUGGUGUCUGGGAGUGACAGGUUAUUAUAGAUGGAUAGAGAUGCCUGGUGUCUGGGAGUGACAGGUUAUUAUAGAUGGAUAGUGAUGCCUGGUGUCUGGGAGUGACAGGUUAUUAUAGAUGGAUAGAGAUGCCUGGUGUCUGGGAGUGACAGGUUAUUAUAGAUGGAUAGAGAUGUCUGGUGUCUGGGAGUGACAGGUUAUUAUAGAUGGAUAGAGAUGCCUGGUGUCUGGGAGUGACAGGUUAUUAUAGAUGGAUAGAGAUGCCUGGUGUCUGGGAGUGACAGGUUAUUAUAGAUGGAUAGAGAUGCCUGGUGUCUGGGAGUGUAGUGACAGGUUAUUAUAGAUGGAUAGAGAUGCCUGGUGUCUGGGAGUGACAGGUUAUUAUAGAUGGAUAGAGAUGCCUGGUGUCUGGGAGUGACAGGUUAUUAUAGAUGGAUAGAGAUGCCUGGUGUCUGGGAGUGACAGGUUAUUAUAGAUGGAUAGUGAUGCCUGGUGUCUGGGAGUGACAGGUUAUUAUAGAUGGAUAGAGAUGCCUGGUGUCUGGGAGUGACAGGUUAUUAUAGAUGGAUAGAGAUGCCUGGUGUCUGGGAGUGACAGGUUAUUAUAGAUGGAUAGAGAUGCCUGGUGUCUGGGAGUGACAGGUUAUUAUAGAUGGAUAGAGAUGCCUGGUGUCUGGGAGUGACAGGUUAUUAUAGAUGGAUAGAGAUGCCUGGUGUCUGGGAGUGUAGUGACAGGUUAUUAUAGAUGGAUAGAGAUGCCUGGUGUCUGGGAGUGACAGGUUAUUAUAGAUGGAUAGAGAUGCCUGGUGUCUGGGAGUGUAGUGACAGGUUAUUAUAGAUGGAUAGAGAUGCCUGGUGUCUGGGAGUGACAGGUUAUUAUAGAUGGAUAGAGAUGCCUGGUGUCUGGGAGUGACAGGUUAUUAUAGAUGGAUAGAGAUGCCUGGUGUCUGGGAGUGUAGUGACAGGUUAUUAUAGAUGGAUAGAGAUGCCUGGUGUCUGGGAGUGUAGUGACAGGUUAUUAUAGAUGGAUAGAGAUGCCUGGUGUCUGGGAGUGACAGGUUAUUAUAGAUGGAUAGAGAUGCCUGGUGUCUGGGAGUGACAGGUUAUUAUAGAUGGAUAGAGAUGCCUGGUGUCUGGGAGUGACAGGUUAUUAUAGAUGGAUAGAGAUGCCUGGUGUCUGGGAGUGACAGGUUAUUAUAGAUGGAUAGAGAUGCCUGGUGUCUGGGAGUGUAGUGACAGGUUAUUAUAGAUGGAUAGAGAUGCCUGGUGUCUGGGAGUGACAGGUUAUUAUAGAUGGAUAGAGAUGCCUGGUGUCUGGGAGUGACAGGUUAUUAUAGAUGGAUAGAGAUGCCUGGUGUCUGGGAGUGACAGGUUAUUAUAGAUGGAUAGAGAUGCCUGGUGUCUGGGAGUGUAGUGACAGGUUAUUAUAGAUGGAUAGAGAUGCCUGGUGUCUGGGAGUGACAGGUUAUUAUAGAUGGAUAGAGAUGCCUGGUGUCUGGGAGUGACAGGUUAUUAUAGAUGGAUAGAGAUGCCUGGUGUCUGGGAGUGACAGGUUAUUAUAGAUGGAUAGAGAUGCCUGGUGUCUGGGAGUGACAGGUUAUUAUAGAUGGAUAGUGAUGCCUGGUGUCUGGGAGUGACAGGUUAUUAUAGAUGGAUAGAGAUGCCUGGUGUCUGGGAGUGACAGGUUAUUAUAGAUGGAUAGAGAUGCCUGGUGUCUGGGAGUGUAGUGACAGGUUAUUAUAGAUGGAUAGAGAUGCCUGGUGUCUGGGAGUGACAGGUUAUUAUAGAUGGAUAGAGAUGCCUGGUGUCUGGGAGUGACAGGUUAUUAUAGAUGGAUAGAGAUGCCUGGUGUCUGGGAGUGACAGGUUAUUAUAGAUGGAUAGAGAUGCCUGGUGUCUGGGAGUGACAGGUUAUUAUAGAUGGAUAGAGAUGCCUGGUGUCUGGGAGUGUAGUGACAGGUUAUUAUAGAUGGAUAGAGAUGCCUGGUGUCUGGGAGUGACAGGUUAUUAUAGAUGGAUAGUGAUGCCUGGUGUCUGGGAGUGACAGGUUAUUAUAGAUGGAUAGAGAUGCCUGGUGUCUGGGAGUGACAGGUUAUUAUAGAUGGAUAGAGAUGCCUGGUGUCUGGGAGUGACAGGUUAUUAUAGAUGGAUAGAGAUGUCUGGUGUCUGGGAGUGACAGGUUAUUAUAGAUGGAUAGAGAUGCCUGGUGUCUGGGAGUGACAGGUUAUUAUAGAUGGAUAGAGAUGCCUGGUGUCUGGGAGUGACAGGUUAUUAUAGAUGGAUAGAGAUGUCUGGUGUCUGGGAGUGACAGGUUAUUAUAGAUGGAUAGAGAUGCCUGGUGUCUGGGAGUGACAGGUUAUUAUAGAUGGAUAGAGAUGCCUGGUGUCUGGGAGUGACAGGUUAUUAUAGAUGGAUAGAGAUGCCUGGUGUCUGGGAGUGACAGGUUAUUAUAGAUGGAUAGAGAUGCCUGGUGUCUGGGAGUGUAGUGACAGGUUAUUAUAGAUGGAUAGUGAUGUCUGGUGUCUGGGAGUGUAGUGACAGGUUAUUAUAGAUGGAUAGAGAUGCCUGGUGUCUGGGAGUGUAGUGACAGGUUAUUAUAGAUGGAUAGAGAUGCCUGGUGUCUGGGAGUGACAGGUUAUUAUAGAUGGAUAGAGAUGCCUGGUGUCUGGGA